CGCAGGACUCUUAUCUUCCCCGACGAGAUCGUGUGCGAUAGACGUGGUCCACGAUGGGAUCAACUUCGUUGCAGAUCUUCAGCCUGUUGAAUCGGGAUGCAGAAGACGAACACGACUAUUCCACCAUCAACGACGACGUUUCGGUAGGAAUGGAUUUCACCAGUAACGGCGACGUUUCAAGCAGCCAUGGACAUUUUCAAUUUGACCCCUGGACUUUGGAAAUUCGGCAAUUAGACCCCUAAGCAAUUAAAAGUUUCUUUUAAUUUUUCCCUUUUUGAUUAAUUUCAAUUAAAUCCCUAAAUUAUAACACUAUUUACAAAAUAGUCUUUAAUUUGUGGAUUGUCCCAUUUGGCCCCUUAAUUAAUUAAAUUUUUUACUUUUAAUUCUU
rnacentral:lncRNA from 1 species